rnacentral:rRNA from 1 species
CGCGUAGGCGGCCGCGCAAGUCGGACGUGAAAUCCCUCGGCUCAACCGAGGAACUGCGUCCGAAACUGCACGGCUUGAGUCCCGGAGAGGGUAGCGGAAUUCCCAGUGUAGCGGUGAAAUGCGUAGAUAUUGGGAGGAACACCCGUGGCGAAGGCGGCUACCUGGACGGGUACUGACGCUGAGGCGCGAAAGCUAGGGGAGCAAACA